CCUACGGGAGGCAGCAGUGAGGAAUAUUGGUCAAUGGGCGCAAGCCUGAACCAGCCAAGUCGCGUGAGGGAAGACGGCCCUACGGGUUGUAAACCUCUUUUGCCGGGGAGCAACGGGCGCCACGUGUGGCCCCACUGAGAGUACCCGGAGAAAAAGCAUCGGCAAACUCCGUUCCAGCCGCCGCGGUAAUACGGAGGAUGCGAGCGUUUUCCGGUUUUUUUGGGUUUAAAGGGUGCGUAGGUGGAGCGUUUAGUCCGUGGUAAAAUUGCGGGGCUCAACCCCUUCCCGCCGUUGAAACUGGCGCUCUUGAGUGGAAGAGAAGUAUGCGGAAUGCGUGGUGUAGCGGUGAAAUGCAUAGAUAUCACGCAGAACUCCGAUUGCGAAGGCAGCAUGCCGGCGUCCGACUGACGCUGAAGCACGAAAGCGUGGGUAUCGAACAGGAUUAGAUACCCCAGUAGUC
rnacentral:rRNA from 1 species